rnacentral:pre_miRNA from 1 species
CAACUACUCCCUCUGUCCCAAAUUUAUUUUCUUAGAUUUGUCUAGAUACGGAUGUAUCUAAUACUAAAAUGUGACUUGAUAGAUCCGUAUUUAGACAAAUCUAAGACAAGAAUUUUGGGAUGGAGGGAGUACUUU